rnacentral:rRNA from 1 species
CCUACGGGAGGCAGCAGUGGGGGAUAUUGCACAAUGGGGGAAACCCUUAUCCAGCGACGCCGCGUGUGGGAAGACGGUCCUCUGGAUUGUAAACCACUGUCCCCAGGGACGAAGAUGACGGUACCUGGGGAGGAAGCUCCGGCUAAAUACGUGCCAGCAGCCGCGGUAAUACGUAGGGAGCGAGCGUUGUCCGGAAUUACUGGGUGUAAAGGGAGCGUAGGCGGGACUGCAAGUUGGGUGUAAAAUCUACCGGCUCAACCGGUAGCCGCACUCAAAACUGCAGUUCUUGAGUGAAGUAGAGGCAGGCGGAAUUCCUAGUGUAGCGGUGAAAUGCGUAGAUAUUAGGAGGAACACCAGUGGCGAAGGCGGCCUACUGGGCUUUUACUGACGCUGAGGCUCGAAAGUGUGGGGAGCAAACAGGAUUAGAUACCCGGGUAGUC